AAAUGAAUUAAGAGGCAACUCUUAACUGGCCAAUUAGGGAAAAAUCGAGAGAUUCAAGCCUAGGGGGCAGAAAGCUCCGCGAAGUAGCGCUAAAAUCACGGAGCGGGGGCAUGGCGGUAGCGCAUAAAACGACGUGCCAA
rnacentral:ncRNA from 1 species